CUAGCUUACUUUUUUUUUUCUUUCAAAAAAGGCAGUUGAAAGUACUAAACCGUUUCAGAAGACUUGAUGAAUGGAUUAAGCUAGAUCAACUUGACCUUGAUUCCGUAGAGUGCGCCUCAGAUGAAAAAAGUUGAAGACAAAGGUGAGACUAGCUGGAAGAUGCACGAAACAAGAGAGGAAGAUUGAUGAGUCACAUCAGCGCUCCGUCUCAAACUCUACAGAGACCCUGUUCAAAAAAAAACAAGACCCUUUAAAAUAAUCCAAAAUAAUUUAUGUUUUUCUGACAAAAUAUUGUUAUAAUAUAUAACCAAUACACCAAUCUAAUUUGAGAGGAAGAAACAUCUUUUCGUUUUAUAAUUAAAAACUUAUGAAAAACAUCUUUUCGAGACUAUGAAUUUUUCGGUUUCUUUUUUUUUUUGA